rfam:Rhizoclosmatium globosum strain JEL800 BCR33scaffold_25, whole genome shotgun sequence.
GCCCGUUUAGCUCAGUGGUAGAGUGUUUCCCUCCUAAGGAAAGGGUCGCCGGUUCAAACCCGGCAUCGGGUG